rnacentral:pre_miRNA from 1 species
CAGACAGGAGCUGUCCGGACUACCUAAGGAGACUGCCUGUAAGACCACAUGAAGGGCAAGCAGCCCGAGCUCACUCAGAGAGAGGGCACAGGCAAGUCAUCCUUGGCUAUCUUGACAAGCUCUUAUCG